ensembl:lncRNA
AUGCAAAAGAAAUCUAAUGUAUCUCUUGCUCUGGCUAUUGUGUAUAGACCACCAGGGCCGUAUACAGAAUUCCUGAAAGAAUUUGCAGAUUUCCUCUCAGACCUUCUAGUUACAGUUGAUAAAGCGCUAAUCAUGGGAGAUUUUAAUAUUCACGUUGAUAAUGCAAAUGAUACAUUAGGACUUGCGUUUACUGACCUAAUAAACUCCUUUGGAGUCAAGCAAAAUGUCACCGGGCCCACUCAUCGUUUUAAUCAUACACUAGAUUUAAUUAUAUCGCAUGGAAUCGAUCUUACUGCUAUAGAUAUUGUACCUCAAAGUGAUGAUAUUACAGACCAUUUCCUUGUAUCGUGCAUGCUGCGUAUAACUGAUAUUAACUAUAUGUCGCAGCGUUACCGUCUGGGCAGAACUAUUGUUCCAGCCACCAAAGAAAGAUUCGCAAAUAACCUGCCUGAUCUAUCUCAACUGCUAAUUGUACCCAAAAAUACACACGAAUUAGACGAAAUUACUGACAACAUGGGCACUAUUUUCUCUAAAACAUUAGAAGCUGUUGCCCCAAUCAAAUUGAAAAAAGUUAGAGAAAAACGUACUGUACCAUGGUAUAACAGUAAUACUCACUCUCUCAAGAAAUUAACUCGUAGUCUUGAACGCAAAUGGAGAAAAACUAACUUAGAAGUUUUUAGAAUUGCAUGGAAAAACAGUAUGUCCAGCUAUAGACAGGCUCUAAAAACUGCUAGGGCAGAGCAUAUACACAAACUCAUUGAAAAUAACCAAAACAAUCCUAGGUUUUUAUUUAGCACAGUGGCUAAGUUAACAAAUUACCAGAUGCCACCUGAUUCAAAUAUUCCACCAACGUUAAAUAGUAAUGACUUUAUGAAUUUCUUCACUGAUAAAAUAGAUAACAUUAGAAAUACAAUAGCGAAUGUAGAUUCUACAGCGUCUAACACUUCAGUUUCAUCCAUCGCACCCAAAGAUAAACUGCAGUGCUUUACAACCAUAGGACAGGAAGAGCUAAAUAAACUUAUCACUGUAUCUAAACCAGGGGCGUGUCUAGAGCAUUUUCAGUGGGGGGGCCAUGCUGGGGCACUGCCUCCUAAUGGGGUGGCCGCCACUGCCCCCCCCCCCCCCCGCACAUUUUUGAUUACUUUAGUUUUUGUCAUCCAUGUAUAUAUCCAUUAA